rnacentral:rRNA from 1 species
UACGAAGGGGGCUAGCGUUGCUCGGAAUCACUGGGCGUAAAGCGCACGUAGGCGGAUUGUUAAGUCGGGGGUGAAAUCCUGGAGCUCAACUCCAGAACUGCCUUCGAUACUGGCGAUCUCGAGUCCGGAAGAGGUGAGUGGAACUCCUAGUGUAGAGGUGGAAUUCGUAGAUAUUAGGAAGAACACCAGUGGCGAAGGCGGCUACCUGGACCAGCACUGACACUGAGGCACGAAAGCGUGGGGAGCAAACAGG